CGGUCGCUUAAGUACAACGAACGUGUUAGGUCUAUAUUGGUUAACAAUAUAGAAAAGACAGAGCAGUGCAACUAUAUAAUCGAGGAGGGAAAGGAAGAACAUUCAACUGAAAAAAUAUUUAUAGUUUUUCGUCAGUAAGGUUGCCUACAAUGUUUUUAUAUUAGCAAACUCCACGCUUAUAGAACACUUGAAAGGAACUUCUGCCUGAUCGUUCGCCCUUUUAGAAAUAUCAGCUGACUCUCAAAUCAUACUAUUGUCUUAGAAAAGAAGGACAAAUCGGAUAAAGAAGUUUUGCAUUCAAGUGCGUCCGGGGAAAGGAACAGAAAAUUGCUCCCUGUUACCAUUAGGCCAGCCCUGAUCACAGACUAUGACAACAAUAAUCGAUGCAGUCAAAUGUCUCAAGGUCAUGUGUAUAGCAACACAUUUCUCAAGCAAUUGUAUGAAGUGUUUUCCAGUUACACAGAAGCUUAGUAUUUGGAUGGCAGUUUUAUCUUUUGUUUCAUCAUUAGAUUGCAGCCAUGCUGGGGCACUGCCUUGAAGAAUUUUUAAUUGAAUGAAUUGACCCCAAUAUUUUUUUCUUUAAA